UCACGAAAAUCAAGCUUGUUUUAACAUUGGCCUUAUAGUUUUUGAAUUAAACGUAAAAAACAAGAAAUGUCGUUUUUUGCCGAUUUUGACAAAAGUGGGAAGGCCAAGCCCUAAAACUCAUAAUUUGAUUAGAACAGGAAAAUUUUUCAAAAUUUUAAUGUAUACCUAUAUUAAUUUGUCUGCUGCGACAGUUAAAAAAAGUAUUAAAUAAAUAAAAAUACUAAUAACACAUUUUAUGUGUGUCGCGCUUUUACCUUCUGGGAGUUUGUCGUGUUUAUAUAGCGGGAAGUCCACCUUUGCUGUUUUUCGAAGUCUGACAAACUGACAUAAGUCUCAGAAUUGGGCCCAAAAUUAGCAGUAAGCACUUUUGAUCGAAAUGGAAGGAGUUUUUCAAAUAGCUUGCAACACGAUAAACUUUACAUAUAAAAACUGUAAUUGGAUACUUGGUUUUCUGGAAAACCUGACAUAUUUUAUAUCCAUAGAUAUUUUUUAUGCUUAUUUCUGGAUGCAAUAUAAAUAGUCGGAACGUAUUCUCUAACCAUGAUAUCCUACUUCAUAAGACUAGCUCCUUAUCCAUUAGGAAACGGGGCAACUGAAAAGUGAUGCGACAAAAUACAAAUGUUUUUCUUGUUGCGUGUCAUGGAUGGAACAAUAUGAUUGUUUUAAGUGCGCAACUGCGAGUUGAUGCUCGGCAACUUAUCUUACCGACCAAUCACAAACAUAAGGGUCAUUGAGUAGUUUGUCGUUACCUGGGUUACGUGGACUUAGCAACAUAUCGCUUCAGUAUUUUCGCCUAAUACUGUAGGUUUCCUGUGGCGGGUUUCCAUAAAAAACAUGGUGAGUAAGAAUGAGAUAAAGACAGCUGGGGCUAAGUCAGGAAAACCGGCCAAAGGGAGCAAAGGCAAAAAGACCGGGAAGAAAAAUGUAUCCCACCGCAGCGCUUUACUGUUGGAUGGACUACCAGUAUCUGAGAUGUCAAGAGACCAACUUCUUAAUCAUUUAACCCGACUCCUUGACCAGCUGGAAAAAGAACGCGAAGAACGUAAUUUCUUUCAACUAGAGCGCGACCAAAUAUAUGGAUUUUGGAAAGUCGCAAAGGAAGAAGUCGAGGAUGUGCGGGCUCGACUCAGGAAUAAGGAAAAGGAAUUAGAUGACGCGGAAGAAAUACGGCAAAAAGACAUAUCGAUCUAUAAGCAGCAAAUAAAAUGUCUUCUUCACGAACAUCAGACAACUGUAGCUGAAUCACGGAACGAGCAACAAACGGCUUUGGAGCUAGCUCAUUUAGAACAUCAAGAGCAAGAGCAAAUACUGCGUUUAGAACAACAGCGUUUGAAAGAGGAAAUCCGUCAUCUCAGUCUUCAAGAGCAGCUUACAGUUGACAAGAUCAAAAUGGAACACUCAAAAGAAUUGAGUGCGAUGCGUAAAAAUUUAGAGCAGGAAGCUAGACAACUUGAAAUCAAGUACCAAAAUCAGACGGACGCUCUAAGGAAUGAACUAGAAAAACGGAGGAGAAACGACUUGCAAAAUAUCGAUACGAAAGAUCAGCAACAUUUAGCUGUACUGAAAGCUAAUCACGAACAAGCAAUAAUCAAUUUAAAGAACUAUUUUAACGAUAUUAUUCUCAACAACAUGACCUUGAUCGCGUCUAUGAAAGAGCAAUUAUCAGAAUUCCGGAUUAAAGAAGAAAGGUUGGAAAAGCAAUUUCACAGGACUACCAAGGAGAUAAAGCACUUAAGGGAGAAAUGCGAACAGUUGGAAAAAACAAAUAAAGAGUUACGGAAAGAUACAGAGAACUGGUUGCAUGCUAAAACUUCCCUUCAAGCAGCAAAAAGUCACCACAAAAUGAUGUCCAAACAGCUUGAAGAAGCAGUAUGGCAACGUGAAGUGGCCGAGCAACGUCUAGCGCGAACCAAAACCGAACGGGACGAGUUAGAAGAAAACUUCAUGGCUGCUAUCUUGGAGGUGCAACAGAAAGCAAAUUUAAAACAGCUUGUUUUGGAGAAGAAAAUGGAAACUUUACAAGAAUCUCUUAAAUUUAAAGACAUUGCAUUGAAACAAUUUACCUUAAAUGGAUCACGCUUGAACCUGGAUGCUGGAACAAAUUCAUCUGGAGAGACAAUUUCAUGCUCUUUGAGAGAGGGGAGAAAGCAGACAGUGGUUAAAAUGAACUUUGAAGCAGCACAUCAUGAAGGGCUGCCAGACAAAUCUUUCCAGUCAUCCAAUGAGAGCAUACCUGCCAUCGAAGAAAAAUUAAGCCUACAGUCUAGUUCAAUUAAGUCAGUCCUGGGUACAUCAAAAUCUAAGUCAGCAGUCUUGGACGUCGAAGAUGUGUUGUAACUGCUGAAUGAAAACUUAAAACCGCACAUUAGAAUCAGAAAACACUAACCCUCCCCAAACCUGCACAAGUGCUUCAAAAAGCGUCCGACAACCGACACACAUAGAUGAAAAUGAAAACAAACCAAUGCGCUUCACAGCCACUGAAGCGGCUAGUUGGUUAUGGAGCCAUUGCGAUCAACACGACAAUAGAAGAAGAUGUUUUAAUCACGAAAAAGAAAAAAAGCAACAAGAAAGGUGAUGCAAUAGAGGA